rnacentral:rRNA from 1 species
GACGAACGCUGGCGGCGUGCUUAACACAUUCAAGUCGAGCGGAAAGGCCACUUCGGUGGCACUCGAGCGGCGAACGGGUGAGUAACACGUGAGUAAUCUGCCCCUGGCUUUGGGAUAGCCAACGGAAACGGUGAUUAAUACCGGACAUGACCACUUCUCGCAUGGGUUGUGGUGGAAAGUUUUUCGGCCAGGGAUGUGCUCGCGGCCUAUCAGCUUGAUGGUGAGGUAAUGUCUCACCAUGGCUUCGACGGGUAGCCGGCAUGGGAGGGUGACCGGUCACACUGGGACUGAGACACGGCCCAGGCUCCUACGGGAGGCAGCAGUGGGGAAUAUUGGACAAUGGGCGGAAGCCUGAUCCAGCAACGCCGCGUGAGGGAUGACGGCUUUCGGGUUGUAAACCUCUUUCAGUACCGACGAAGCGCAAGUGACGGUAGGUACAGAAGAAGCACCGGCCAACUACGUGCCAGCCGCCGCAGUAAUAC